rnacentral:rRNA from 1 species
GCCACAUGCAGGGCCAUGAGGCUGGGUAAUACGGUUGGGCAUGGCGUUGUGCGGAUUUAUGGGGCGGUAAGCUGGCGCGUGUGGGUGUAGAAGUCGUGAGUAAAAGGCAGUGGCUGAACCAUUGUGGGCUUUGGAAACUGUACAACUUGAGUGCAGAAUGUGAGAGUGGAAUUCCAUGUGUAGCGGUGAAAUGCGUAGAUAUAUGGAGGAACACCGGUGGCGAAAGCGGCUCUCUGGUCUGUAACUGACACUGAGGCUCGAAAGCGUGGGGAGCAAACAGGAUUAGAUACCCUAUUAGUC